GGCACCGGCACCUGCCCCGACCCUCCCCGGACAACAACACCAGGUCCCCGAGGCGACGCUGGACUGUUCCCCGGCCAGGGAGAUCUCAUAGAUGGAUCCAACCCUGCCCCUGACAGAGGUCUCUGAAGAAUUCAGGGGAUUCGGGGUGCCAACAAAACCCCGGGGCAGACGGGACAGCGAGCGGUACCAGAGGGACACGCGUGGCCCUCGGGAGCAGGGACAGCACUGCGGGCAAGCUGUGCUGAGGUCGGGGAUGGACUGGCAAGAGGAAUCCCCAGGGCCCCAGCAGGAUGCAUUAACAGUGUGUCUCUCUGGUGAGCCGUGAUGGGAAGAGCACGGAGCAAAAAAAAAAAAAAAAAAAAAAAAGAAGGUAAAGUGGUUAAAAACAACUUGUAUUUUCAGAGCCCAGUCUCCCACAGAAAUCUUGGGAGAUGCUGAGCUCUCCACUUCUUGACUUGCAAGCAGAAAUAAUGCUUUAGAAGCCCAGCUGAGACUCCUGGGUUUUAAAUUUUCUACAAUAUUUUCCUCCAGCCCCAUUUGCCGUCCUGCUAAUUAAUCCAGCUAAUGGCUGGGUGUUUUUUUUUUUAACUUCAGCAGCAGUUUCUCUUUUUGUUAACACAAGCAGAGAGAACACGAAGCACAGAUCUCUCGAAGGAUCCAGGCUGACAGCAAUAUUGCCAUCUGACUGAAGAGAACUCAGACACACAUAAUCCUCGGGAAAAUUCAUCUCCACCCUCCCGCAGACCCCGCUCUCCCGUCCCUCUGCCUUUCUCCCUCUCCACCUUCCCUCUGAUUGCUGAGCAGCUUUUUGACUUUUCCAUCAAUAAGUCUAAAGAGCAUUUGAAGCGCUCUGGUCCCCCCUUUUCUCCUCCCUCCAGUUCCAAGUCAGGCGAGCUCAUCGAUCAGAGGAGCUCAGGAAAUAUCUGGUGUUUUGUUGUCAGGCUGAUAAUAACAUUGCAGUUGUGAAUGGGCUGCUGCAGGCCUGAUCAUGGACACCUGCAGGGUUUGUUUAAUUGCAUUUAAUGACAAAUCCUAUACAGAGGAGCAUUGCCAGAGAGAUUUAUUAUCCACCAAAGAGGCAAAGCACAACAGCUCAAAAUAUAAUUUGCACUGAGCCUUUUUCCCCCUGCCUCUCUUUAAAGCAGUGUAAUAAAUGGCAAAUCGGGUAAAGUGGGCACCACGGGUCUGGGGAGGAGGUGGGGGCAGAGGACGGAGAUUGAAACCAAAGGAAAUAACAGCAAUAAGGCCACAUUGUUCUCUCUGCCAUCCCUGUGGUCUGGGCCAGAGGAAAUACUGUUUGUUUAAUUUACAGCCUGGCAGUGCAGCUGGGGAUCUCUCGGUGAUGAGCCUGUUCUGACACAGCUGGGGGCCCACAGUCCCCACUCCUCCUCUAACCAGGCUUUUUUCCCCUCCCGUGUUCUGCAGUCUAAGUUUAGCUCCCAGCCAUACAAACAAUUAGCAAGGAGCUCCAGCAGCCUGCCAGCUGCCACUGGCACGAGGAGCCACGAGCUUCCACGGCCCUGAGAUCUCUGGGACAAAGCAGUGGUGUCCUGAAAAAUAUCACACUGAGAAAUACGGCCCCACGGAGACAGAUCCCACGAGCUGGAGUCUAGACAAAAGUCUUGCACGACUCUGAGCCUGGAAUUUAUGUUUCCUGCUAAAUAGCCUGCUCUGAAGAGGGAAUGGCUGUGUGUAAAAGCAGCAGAAGAGCUCAGGCCUUGCUCGUACUUCUUUUGUCUUGAUUUUUAUGUGAUUUUCUAGCAAUGAUU